rnacentral:snoRNA from 1 species
AGCCUCUCACCUAUGGGGCUGUGGGGGGGGUCCCUUUUCUUCUCAGUCAAGGCUGGAGGCCCAGGUCAACCCUUGAGAUUAUCGCCAGGACUGCCACAGCUGGGCAGCUUUGUUUUCCUACCUCAGAUAUUC